AUGCAAGAAAAAUGACUAAACUAUUCAUAGUCUUUGUCCUAACAAGCUUGGUACUGAAUGUAUACCACCAAGGACACCAAAGACUGAAAUGAAAGUUAAUAUGUAUGAAAAUAAUCAUUUAGCACUCUUAGUGGUAGCAAAGAAUUGAAAAUUAAAAGUGAUUGGAGAGUUACUAAAAAACUGAUAGUAUAUAAAUGUCUCAGAACAUUAUUAUGCAAUAAGAGAUGUUGGAUAGGAGAAACUGAGAGAAAUGGAGGAAGAUUUAUAUGAACUGAAUCAGAAAAAUUAAAUAGAACCAAGAGAACACUAUACCCAAUAACUGUAUUACUUCAAAUGAAAAGAUCACUGAAAGGGAGUUGAAUUCUGAAUACUGAGAAUGAAGAUUUGGAAAAGAGAUAAAGAAACAUAUAUCCUUCCUCACUGCAAAGGUGUCCUGGGCCACCAAUGGAUGAAGCUAGGACCUUGCAUUGUCUUCAAGGAGACAGUAGUGAGCCCAGUGACAAAGACUUGGAAACUGAGGAGAUGUUCAUCAGUUGGGGAAUGGCUAAAGUUGUGGUACAAGGUUAUAAUGGAAUACGGUAAUGUCAUAAGGCAUGAUGAAAGGGUGAUUUUACAAAAACCUGGCAAGACUUAAAUUUAAAAAAAAAAGAUGCAAAAUGAAGUAGCAGAACCAGUAGAACAUUAUACAAUGGUCACCUUUGAGGUACUAAACUAUUAUCAGCAGUUCAAAGAUCCAAGAUAACUCCAAGGGACACAUGAUGAAAAAUACUAUCCACUGCCCAUUGAAGGAACUAUCACAGUCUGAACAUAGAUUGAAGCAUACCAUCUUCACUUUAUUUCCCUCAUGAAUUUUUUCAUGUAUGUGUGACAUGUGCCUUCUUUAAUGGCAUGAAGAUAUUGUAUUACUUUUAUGACCUUGGGCAAGUAAUUUGACUUCUUCCCUUUUCCGUUUCCUCAUAUGUGAAAUGGACAAAUAUCUUUAGGGGAGAUUAAAGUUUAGACUUUUAACCCCCUGGUCCUGGUUUCCAAUCUUCUCUACCUGGUUGCUGU
rnacentral:lncRNA from 1 species